AGAACGCUGGCGGCGCGCUUAACACAUGCAAGUCGAGCGAGAAAGCUCCUUCGGGAGUGAGUACAGCGGCGGACGGGUGAGUAACACGUGAGAAUUUACCCUUUAGUGAGGAAUACCUUCGAGAAAUUGGAGUUAAUACCACAUACGUCCCUUCGGGGAGAAAGAUAGCCUCUUGCUGUCGCUAAAGGAUAAGCUUGCGGACUAUUAGCUUGUUGGUGAGGUAAAGGCUCACCAAGGCUGUGAUGGAUAGCCGACCUGAGAGGGUGAUCGGCCACACUGGAACUUAGACACGGUCCAGACUCCUACGGGAGGCAGCAGUGGGGAAUAUUGCGCAAUGGGCGAAAGCCUGACGCAGCGACGCCGCGUGGAGGGUGACGGUUUUCGGAUUGUAAACUCCUGUUAAGUGGGAAGAAAGCCUUGCUUUUAAUAGAAGCGAGGGAUGACUGUACCAUUAGAGAAAGCACCGGCUAACUUCGUGCCAGCAGCCGCGGUAAUACGAGGGGUGCUAGCGUUAUUCGGAAUCAUUGGGCGUAAAGGGUGUGUAGACGGCGCAUUAAGUCAACUGUUAAAUUCUCCGGCCUAACUGGAGGUCAGCGGUAGAAACUGGUGUGCUAGAGGGUGGAAGAGAGAAGUGGAAUUCUCGGAGUAGCGGUAAAAUGCGUAGAUCUCGAGAGGAACACCGAUGGCGAAGGCAGCUUCUUAGUCCAUUCCUGACGUUGA
rnacentral:rRNA from 1 species